rnacentral:rRNA from 1 species
GAUGAACGCUGGCGGCGUGCCUAAUACAUGCAAGUCGAGCGCAACUUCUUAUACCGAACCUUCGGGUUCACUUUAAGAGUUGAGCGGCGGACGGGUGAGUAACACGUAGGCAACCUACCCUUAAGACUGGGAUAACUACGGGAAACCGUGGCUAAUACCGGAUAAUAUCUUUACUCAAAAGAGUAMMGRUUGAAAGAUGGAUUUUCUAUCACUUAAGGAUGGGCCUGCGGCGCAUUAGCUAGUUGGUGAGGUAGUAGCUCACCAAGGCGACGAUGCGUAGCCGACCUGAGAGGGUGAUCGGCCACACUGGGACUGAGACACGGCCCAGACUCCUACGGGAGGCAGCAGUAGGGAAUCUUCCGCAAUGGACGCAAGUCUGACGGAGCAACGCCGCGUGUGUGAUGAAGGAUUUCGGUUCGUAAAGCACUGUUGUUAAGGAAGAAUAGUAGUAAGAGUAACUGUUUACUAAUUGACGGUACUUAACCAGAAAGCCACGGCUAACUACGU